UGCCUAUACAUGCAAGUCGAGCGGACCGACGGGAGCUUGCUCCCUUAGGUCAGCGGCGGACGGGUGAGUAACACGUGGGUAACCUGCCUGUAAGACUGGGAUAACUCCGGGAAACCGGGGCUAAUACCGGAUGCUUGAUUGAACCGCAUGGUUCAAUCAUAAAAGGUGGCUUUUAGCUACCACUUACAGAUGGACCCGCGGCGCAUUAGCUAGUUGGUGAGGUAACGGCUCACCAAGGCGACGAUGCGUAGCCGACCUGAGAGGGUGAUCGGCCACACUGGGACUGAGACACGGCCCAGACUCCUACGGGAGGCAGCAGUAGGGAAUCUUCCGCAAUGGACGAAAGUCUGACGGAGCAACGCCGCGUGAGUGAUGAAGGUUUUCGGAUCGUAAAACUCUGUUGUUAGGGAAGAACAAGUACCGUUCGAAUAGGGCGGCACCUUGACGGUACCUAACCAGAAAGCCACGGCUAACUACGUGCCAGCAGCCGCGGUAAUACGUAGGUGGCAAGCGUUGUCCGGAAUUAUUGGGCGUAAAGCGCGCGCAGGCGGUUUCUUAAGUCUGAUGUGAAAGCCCCCGGCUCAACCGGGGAGGGUCAUUGGAAACUGGGGAACUUGAGUGCAGAAGAGGAGAGUGGAAUUCCACGUGUAGCGGUG
rnacentral:rRNA from 1 species